GGGCGCGUCUUGUAGACAGCUUCGUUGAAAUUGCUCCGGAAAACCCCUUGGCCAUAUUUCUUUUAAUCACGGGGUCCUGGGUUCGAGCCCCAGCGCGCUCACCA
rnacentral:tRNA from 1 species